AAACCUUAUAAAAAUGCAAAAGUUUUAACUGUAGCUUAUGAAUAGUACCCGCUGGUGCUAUUACAGAGAUGUCCUUGAAUUCAUUGAAUUGCCGAUUUUGCCCUUUAUUGUUUUGUUUCUUUGGUGGCCUGGCUGUCGCCAUCUGUCUUCUCUCUCUUAACUCUUAAGGCUUCUUCCUUCUCCUCUCGGCGCUCCCAUUCUUUAUCUCCUCCAUUGGAGCAGUUUCUGAGGUACAAAACAAAAGAAUUUAUGAUUUAAUUUUUGUUUAUUUCUUUUGUUCAUCUAUUCGAUUAGAUUUUUCCUCUUAUAAGAAUGGAGGCGGACGCAGCAGCGAAACCAAUAAUCAAUGUCGCUGCCAUUUGCGGCUCCUUUCCAUACAACAUAGACCUCCUCCGAGCAGGCGGAAGGAGUAAGACGGAGCAAGGUUUGGUGGAUUCGAGUUUGAGUUUUCGAUUGAAUUUGAUAUCAAAUGGCUCUUACAUAGCAACUAGCUACAAAGGCAAACAUUUUAAAGAAAUGUCGUGACCAUGGAAUGGGCCCUGUAGGUUUCUAUGAGCCUUGUUUUCGAGAGGGAGGGAAGUUGCAUUUGAGCAUGAUGUGUUUUGGUCAGUUUUGGGAUCCUGAUGCCAGCAAAUAUGUAAAAAAUCGGCCAAUUGAUCAAGCAAAACCACCGUCACUUCCACAUGAAUUUCUAAUGACAAGGAUUAGAGUCGGGAGAGUCUUGGGAAAGGAAUACCUAUUGUGUCUUUCUCCAUUGGUGACUCUGCAGAAUUUUUAUAUGGUGAUCAGGCAGAUGCUGAAAAGGCUGAUAAGAUUAAAUUAGAAUCUGGAGAUGUUCUAAUAUUCGGAGAAACAAAAGGUUGAGGACAAAUUAAAGGUUCUUUUGGAGACUGUCCCUGUACACAAAGAAAGUGGCGGAUAUAUAUUUGUUGCAAGCUUUGAAAUAAGCCUCAAGGAGCAAACAGGAAAGAUAAGUUUCUUAGAUCCAAUAGGGUUGAAAUAUACCCCGUAUACAAAGUUAUUAUAAAUAAGAGUGACAAUUUUGUAAUCAUUAACUAAUUACUACAGUCAUUAACAAUAGUAUGAAUUUUGGAAUCAUUCAAAAUUGGCUCAGUUUGAUUACAAUGAGACUUAUUUAAUUAAGCACUAAUUUAGGUA